GUGGCCUCCUCUCAGAACUUUAAAAAUUGAUGCUGUGACAGAGGAACCUCUGUUGGGAGGGAUGACAUCAUCGGGGUUGGGGCACUCAGUCGUUGUGCUGCCAGAAGUCAUGGGUUUAAGUUCCAUGCCAUAAUUUAUGCCGCUGUGUAGUGAUUGUGGGUAAAAAAUCUUCCCUACUGUUUGAGGGGUCACAGGUCACAUGAUUGGACUGACGAAUCAGCCCUAAGCGUGGGUAAUCUUAGGGGCGGAGCUUUCUAGUCAUGAGCCUGGCCCAAGCAUGUAGCUUUUUCCAAGAGCUCUGUAAAUAAGGUUAUCCGUGUGCUAAGUUUUUACAAUUGAGGACGAGGAUAUUUAGCUCCGACGUUGCAUCUCACCUCCUGAAUGUGAGUACAUCAAUUUUUAAGGAAUGAAAGAAAAGUAUACUCACCAGUCAUAAGAGAAAAAGUUUCUUGUUGAGGCGUCGGAUGAGACGAAGAAUAAUAGAAGAAUAAAAUGAAGAGAAAGGAGAUAUGGCUGUGAAAGCGGGUUUUAGUAAACACCUUGUCAAACAAGACUCACCAGUCAUGCCUCUCUUCAGCAGAAUCAUUUAUGACUCGUCCACGGAAGAUUGGAGCCUGUAGGUAGAGCGUCUAGAUUUUUAUUUCACGGCGAAUAAAAUAACAGCAGAAGAGAAGCAGAAAGCCACACAAUUACUGAGUUCCCCCCCCACUGCCCCCCCGAUGUUGUCAUCCCUCCUAACAUAGGUUCCUCUGUCGUAACAUCAAUUUUUAAAGUUCUGUGAGGAAGCCACUUAAGGACAUUUUUCUGCAUAAGGAGGCACCAUUAAGUAUCUGUGGGACCAAGACAUAUAACCUCAUCCGUAGUCUGACGGUCCAGAACACGCCCAAUUCUAAAUCUGCUGGUAGGCCUCAAGGAGACAUAUUUUCAUCAGAAGCCAUCGGUAAUUAUGCAGAUUUAAGUUCAACUCCAGAAUAAGGGCCCCAGGAGAUAAUGUUGAUCUGAAGCGCGCCAUGAAAUAGCACUAGCAAUGGAGAGUGCUGAGAGACUCGCAGGCUUUGCAGAGAAUACAACAUGGCGCCAUUCUUAAGUUUAGGGCAGGAACUUACCAUCGGGCGUGGCACGAAAACCAGAGAGGCAACCAUGAAGCAGGAGACAGUCUUGACUGUUCGAAAAAUGAAAAGGCAUACUGGAAGCCUCUCACCAGCGAUUCAGAAAUUAAUUUGUUACCGAUGGUGGGGUAACCAUAUACCAGAAACUUGCAGAUUUAAAGAGCCAGAAUGCCACUACUGUCACAAAAAAGGGCAUGUAAUAAAACAAUGCAGGGUGAAACCCAGACAGCCAAUAAGACGGCAGACCAAGAUGAUUGAACUGCACAACAGAACUGAACCAGAAGCUGCUGAUACUGAUAUCUAUUCCCUAUACAAUGUCAAAGCAGUAAAAACUGAACUAAUUACCAUCGCCCUUCAAGUGAAUGGGAAGCCUCUAGUCAUGGAGAUAGACACAAGAGCAUCGACCACAUUGGUGUGAGAACACAUAUUUAAAUACCUAAGUGAAGGUACCCAGCCACUGAAUCUGGAGCAAACCAUGGCUCAGCUGAAGAGGUACACUGAAGAGACAAUACAAGUAAAAGGCAUUGCCACUGUACCUGUGCACUGUAGGCAACAGACAGCCCAGCUUUCCAGUGAUCAUUUUAACUGGUGCACGACCUGUUCUGGGCCACGAUUGGUUAUAAAAAAUUAAGCUCAACUGGUCAUAAAUGUUUCAAGUUAAAACAGGAGGAAUUCCUGAACUGUUAAAGAAGUACGACAGCAUAUUUUGUGAUGAAUUGGGAAAGAUUAAAGGCCUACAGACAAAAUUAUAUGUAGGCUUGGAGGCAACACCCUGGUUCUUUAAGGCCAGACCUGUGCCUUACACCCUAGAGGAGAAGGUGGAUGCAGAACUGUGCCGCUUAGAGAAGCUAGGAUAAUCCAGCCAGUCCAAUUGUCAGAAUGGGCAGUGCCCAUUGUCCCUGUGAUGAAAACAGAUCAAACUACUUGUAUUUGCAGAGUCUACAAAUUAACUGAACAAGGCUGCUAAAUUAGAUAAAUAUCCUAUCCUGAGGACUGAAGAUUUGGAUGCUAAACUAGCUAGAGGAAAAUCCUAUGCCAAACUGGACACGAGCCAUGCAUACAAACAGCUAGAGCUGAACAGCACAUCUAGAGGGUAUGUAACAAUCAACACGCACAGGGGCCUGUACCAAUAUACACGCCUACCCUUUGGUGUAUCAUCUGCCUGUGCAAUCUUCCAAAGGACCAUGGAAAGCCUAAUGCAAGCACUUCCGCAAGUAAUAGUGUACCUGAAUGAUGUCCUGAUCACAGGAUCAACAGAAGCCGAACAUUUGACCAACUUAGAAGGGGUUUUAAGAAGAUUUUUGGAAACUGGUGUCCAGUUGAAGAAAGAGACGUGUAUUUUCCAAGCAACUGAAGUCAUUUAUUUGGAUAAUCGAGUGGAUGCCUGAGGGUUGCAUCCAGUAGAGGAGAAAUCGGGGUGAUCAAGGAAGCGCCCUUUUGUACCAGUGUCACUGAACUUAUGUCUUUUUUGGGCAUUUUAAAUUAUUACAGUCACUUCUUGCCAAACUUGUCAACAGUGUUAGUAGCUUUGCACUUAUUAUUGAAAAAGAACCAUCAAUGGUAAUGGAAGGUGCAACAAGAAGAAGCCUUCGUAAAAGUCAAGAAGCUUUUACACUCAUCAUGUCUACUAGUGCAUUAUGAUCCAUGAAAAGAAUUAAUAUUAACUUGUGAUGCAUCACCCUACGGUGUGGGAGUUCUGUUGUCACAUAGGAUGGAAGAUGGUUUUGAAAGGACAAUAGGCUAUGUCUCCAGAACCCUCUCUGCAGCCGAGAAGAGUUACUCACAACUUGAAAAAGAAGGUUUAUCAGUAAAAUUUGGAGUAAAGAAAUUCCAACAAUAUCAGCAUGGUUGACAUUUCACCGUAGUGUCAGAUUGUAAGCCACUCAUGGGUUUAUUUAGUGAAGAAAAAGCAAUUCUGCCGAUAGCCUCUGCCAGAAUCCAACGACGGGCUUUAAUUGUCGGCCAAUGAGUGCACCUUUAUGCACCAUCCGGGUGUGCAUAUAGCAAAUGCAAACACUCUCAGUUGUUAGAAACUAGAAUUUCAUGUUUUCUUCUCAACUACCAUGCAACUAUGGGUUCAACACCAUCUAAAUUACCGAAAAAACGCCUCCUUCGUACAAGGUUAAGUCUGGUGUUUUCAAAAUUGGAGGGGAAGAUGAAGAAGAACCAGUGUAGUCAGAAAGUGAAUCAUGAUAUUCAUGAUAGCAAAGCCCAAAAAUUUACUGUGGGAGAGACAGUUUUCGUGUAACCUUUUGGAAAUGCUCCUAAUUGUGUCCCUGGUAUAAUUGUUUCUGAAACUGGACCUUUGCCAUACCAAGUGGAAGUGGAAGACUGGAUUGUUCGAAAACGUGGAUCAUCUAAGGAGUAGUGAGACAUUCCAAGAACCAGUUAUUCCACCUGUAAUUGAUGGCGAACCUUUAAUACCCGAGGCGACAGAAUAGACAUACCUGAUGUCUCUGUUGAAAUAAAUAAUUCUGAACUACCAUUGUCUAAGGAUGUCCCUGAUGCUACAGUUCCUGAUCAUGUCAAUCCAGUGGAAGAAUCUGAAGUCAUAGAACUAUGUCGCUCUAACCGAAUCAGUAAACCACCUCGGAGACUUAAUCCAUAAUUGCAUGACUUGUGUAUAUAUGUAUAUGUCGUGGAUUAAGAUAUUCUUGUAAUUAAGAAAUGUAAAAAGCAUUAAAGGGGGAGGGAUGUAGUGAUUGUGUGUAAAACCUUUCCUACUGUUUUAGGUGUCAAAUGAUUGUACUGACGAAUCAGCACGGGUAAUCUUAGGGGCGGAGCUUUCUAGUCGUGGACCUGGUCCAAGCAUAUAGCUUUUUCAAGAGCUCUGUAAAUAAAGUUAAUUGUUUCAACUAAGAAACCUGUUCGGUACACCAAGUUUAUUACAUAUAGACUGUAAACAAUUGCAUAUUAUGAAUGGGUGUAAGAUUUUGCCAGCAGAUAACAAUUAAAUAACAUUUAAACAA